UUGCUACUGGUUUAUUUAAUAUAUAUCAAAUGUGUUGAAUAAUGUAAGUUGGCUGGCAAACCUUCUAAACGGGAGUAUUUAUAACAUUAAUAUUUGCACAAGUACAUUAAACAGUUCAGACCUCCGAAAUCUGGAUAAUUCAUUUAUCUUAUAAACGUUUCUUAAGAAAUAUAUAUAUAAAGAAAUAAAGAAAAAAAGGAAGAAGAAAAAAAAACGUACUUGGAAAUUUGAAUAUUGUGUAAAUCACUUACUUUGUUUUUACUGUAACACAUUUUUAAAUUUUAAAUAGGCAGAAUAACUAUUACGAGUCUUUAGAUAUGAGCGAGUGAUUUAGAUAAAAUAAUUGUUUUAAGGUCAAAUAUGUUCUAUAAUCAUUACGACUAUAGGUCGCGUCAUAUGGACAAGAAUUAUUAUUUUACGAAAACUGAUGAAAGUAAAAAGGGGGACUAUGAUAUAUUACGAAUAAAUCACGACGAGACGGCAAGACAGACGGGUGAAUACAUCGAUGACCCGGAUGAACACGAUGAUUAUGGUAGGGAUAAAUUACCUCGUACACAAGAAUCAUGUGCCAGAGGAAAACAAGUUCACGUAUUAGUAACGCAUUGGUCUGGAUGAAUAGGUCAGGGUGUCUGUGACAAUCUUCGACUAGCAAUAGAAGAUAACUAUGACGAAGAAGACGUUUCAUUUGAACAGAGAAAAGGCGCAAUAAAUUCCUUUGAGGUGUACGUCAACGACAGUUUAUUGUAUUCAAGACUUCGAAACGGCGGUUACCCAUACGAAGAUGACGUAUUGCUUGCAAUCGAGAAAGCCAAGCGAGGACACGAAGUCAAACUUGUUAGAAGCGGAAAGUCAAUUCUCUGUUCGAUUCUUUAGUGGUGAUUGACGUCACAGAUACCCUGCACGAGACAUUAUCCUUCCGGAGAAAAAAACAAUAGUUUAUAUAAAAAACAAAACUAUGAGAUGUACAUAUAUUGACAACAUUUGUGUUUGCAUAGCCUACAAUGACGUUUCACAUCGAAAAUUAAAGUAAUGUGGGACUGAUAAAUGCACGUGCAAAUGCGAUGUUGGAAUUUACUUAUCUUUGUGUUACUACCAAUAAAAUCACACGACAUCAUCUAUCACAUUUUUAAAAAAAAGAAAUCAUAUGAGCCGUGCCAUGACAAAAACCAACAUAAUGGGUUUGCGACCAGCAUGGAUCCAGACCAGCCUGCGCAUCCGCGCAGUCUGAUCAGGAUCCAUGCUGUUCGCUAUCAGGUUCUCUACUUGUUAUAGGGUUUGUAAGCGAACAGCAUGGAUCCUGAUCAGACUGCGCGGAUGCGCAGGCUGGUCUGGAUCCAUGCUUCUCUCAAACCCAUUAUGUUGGUUUUGUCAUGACGCGGCUCAAAGCAUAUAUCAAAACAAAUGCUCUUCUUAAUUCAUAUAGACAAGCAAAUUUUGAUAUGUGUACGUAAUUUUCAAGUAUGUGAUAGCCCCGUCUUAAUAUGACGACUAUUACAAGUGGCAACUGAAAGACAUGGGCGACAAUUCGAUUCAACUAAUUAUAACUAACUUUUUACUCUCCCUUUUCGAAAUAUUGCAAAAAGAAAUUCAAAAUUCAGGUUUUAUCAGCCUAAAUCUUUUGGCGUUUUAAUCGAUUUUUUAGAACUUGGUCUAUGAUUUCAAGCUAUUACUCGUUAUUGCCUGGGAACUCCUUGGUUAUCGUUCAUAAAAUAUCGCAUUUCUUCAGCCCUUUCCGUCAUUGUUCGGAUAGGAACUAUUAUUGAUAAUAGCCGAGAUGUUUCGAUUGAAAGAUAGUUUGACAGAAAAGGCCGAGAAGAUCGAUUGUACAAAAAACGUUCGUUUAUGUUAUUGCUCAUUCUUUUUCCUGUGUGCGUGUGUUUUUAGAUAUUUUGUUGUUUAUAUGUUCGUAACUUCGUCCGUAUGUUAUGUCGUGUUUUAUUUGAUCGAUUGAUUGAUUGAUUGAUCGAUUGCAUAUCAGACGUUUCUGUUAGUUUUACCAAUGCCUGAAAUUUCAUCUGGCAUGGGGGUGCCAGAUGAGUCGCGUGCUGUACAAUGACAUGCUUAGGAUGACGUCAUUUUACCGUUAUGAAUAAAGUUGUUAUUUCAUACACUGUUGUGAGAAAAUAGUUACGGGUGUAAUGGCAUGUAUUUCGACGAAAAUUUUUUUGUUUAAAAUAUUUUGGAAUAUGGUAGAAUAUGCAAGAAAAAAUAUGUGACACACUGAACAACCCUGUUGUUUAAUGCAAGUAAAGUCACCUUCAACAUAGAUUCUCCCGUUUAAAAUACCAAAAUUUGCAUUAAAAAAAAAACAAUUAAAACAUCGCUAUAUCCAUUGCAAGGUAUACAGUCAACACCUUCAUAUUACUGUAUAGUAUUGUAGCUGAUUUGGAACGCUUUUGUGCGUCGUGUUGGCGCUAGCCAAAGAGCGCGUUGUUGGACUUUCGUCUUGUCGUCAUGUCGCUAACGAUGUACGCCAAACGGCGAGUUGUCGUGCGGAGUGUUGUCGCGAUGUCACACUGUCGCUCGGUUCAAAUCAAAGGAUUGGCAUAUAAGCCAAGAGACAGCGCGACAACGCGCCGUUUGGCGCAAUAACGCGCUGUCGCUAGCGACAAGACGAAAAAUCACAUCUUUAGCAUGAAUACUCAAUUUUAAGGUAGGUGUAAGGCACGGUGCAUAUCCAUAUCGGUACCCUCUUUGC